rnacentral:rRNA from 1 species
UACGUAGGGGGCUAGCGUUGUCCGGAAUCAUUGGGCGUAAAGAGCGUGUAGGCGGUCCGGUAAGUCCGCUGUGAAAGUCGGGGGCUCAACCCGCGAAUGCCGGUGGAUACUGGCGGGCUAGAGUGCGGAAGAGGCGAGUGGAAUUCCUGGUGUAGCGGUGAAAUGCGCAGAUAUCAGGAGGAACACCUAUUGCGAAGGCAGCUCGCUGGGACGUAACUGACGCUGAGACGCGAAAGCGUGGGGAGCAAACAGG